rnacentral:rRNA from 1 species
UACGUAGGGGGCAAGCGUUGUCCGGAAUCAUUGGGCGUAAAGCGCGUGUAGGCGGUUCGAUAAGUCUGCUGUGAAAGUCCAGGGCUCAACCCUGGGAUGCCGGUGGAUACUGUCGGACUAGAGUACGGAAGAGGCGAGUGGAAUUCCCGGUGUAGCGGUGAAAUGCGCAGAUAUCGGGAGGAACACCAAUUGCGAAGGCAGCUCGCUGGACGUUACUGACACUGAGGCGCGAAAGCGUGGG